GUUGAAUGGAAAAGGCAGGAAGAGUGGCUGGCAGACUAGAGGAAGAGAACAAACAGGUCGUUGUGACUACUUGGCUACUUGCCUGGACAAAAGAAAAAGUCACUUAAAACCAGCAUUUUAAAAACCCGGAAAUACAUCGAGAUAAGCUAGAAAUCGGGAGACAAAGCCCGAUUUGUGUGUGGAGUGCUUGCAAGGAUCUCGAAGGGACUUCGGGAUACUGUAGUCUAUUCUCUUAUCACAUACAUCUUUCAAGAUGAUGAAAAGUCAAGCCAUUAUCCAACAUAAUAGUCAAGAGACAGAGAAUGUGAAAAGCUGGUUCACAUGUUCAUCACUCAAAAUUCUGGAAAAAAAUGGAGUCAACAGAUUUCUUCCUAUUGCUAAGUGCUCAGGAUCUUUUGGGUUCACUUAUUUGUCAAUUAAGUUCCUUAUUGAACGUGGCAAAACGAAUUCAAGCUGUAAUGAGUUCUGGACCAUUUCCAUGGUUCUGUGAAAGGCUGCAAUCAAACCUAGAUCAAUCAUUUUUAUGAAAUAAACCCAGAGAGUAGUCCCAGUCAAGUAGAUCUCUGAUGUAGCAUUCUCUGUGGCCCGUUGAAUGGUGUGGAGAUAGAUGAUGCAAUUCCAUAGCUGAAUCCAAGCAGAUAUAGCCCUUUAAGCUGUCUGGAUGGGUGGCCACCUGGGAUUCCUACAUCAAACCAUUCAGAGCUCCUCAGAGGAAGCGGGGGGCUCUAUGGACAAACUAGAUGUUACGGUAAGCCUAUCAUUAGAGCUGAUGGACUUAACCUUUCUUUCAAAAAUAGGAGCAUAGGAGCAUAUGGAUCUGGAUCAGGAUAAUUGUGCAGGAGGCAGGGACUUUAUGCCCCUGCCACUGUCCUGAUCUGGAUUCCCCACACCCAUUUGACAAGGGGCGAUGGGAAGCAAUAGGAGCAUUCUUUUCAAACAACAGCCAUGGAGACCCCAAUCCAGACCAGGACCAUGGCAGUGGCAAAGAAUUACAGCCCCUGUUCCCCCUACAAUAAAGCAUUACAGGCCACCCCCAGUCCUAAAAACAGUGGUACAUAUGCUGGUAACCUCCAGACUUGAUUACUGCAAUGCACUCUAUGUGGGGCUGCCUUUAUAUAUAGUCUGGAAACUUCAGUUGGUACAAAAUGUGGCAGCCAGGUUGGUCUCUGGGGCAACAUGAAGAGACAAUAUUACCCCUGUUUUAAAAGCAUUACACUGGCUGCCCACAUGUUUCCAGCACACAAAAUAUAAAGUGCUGGUGAUUAUCUAUAAAGCCCUAAACAGCUCAGGUCCAGAGAGUGCCUUCUGUUCUACAGAGGCAUAUCUAGGGAAAAUAGCGCCUAGGGCAAGCACUGAAAUUGCGCCCCCUGUCCAAACAUCUGACACCCAUCUUUCAGAUAACUUUACCAUAAUAUCAGCUGAAAAAUACAAGUCAAGCUCGUUAAUCUUUUAAUAUUUCAAAAACUAUUUAGCAGUGGACGUAGCCAGACCAAAAAAUGCUGGAAAACUACAGUGUGCUGGGGCUCAUGAAAUACCCAAAGGAGGUGUACUUGGAAAACUAAACAGAAGUGCCUGUCUAAUUCUCUACUAUGCAUUGUAGCAUCACUAUUACAUAAGUUUUAAAAAUCAAUGGAGAAUUUGGCUUUCCCCAGAUACUCUGAAAAUAAUUAAAGGAUAUGUAGAGUAAACUGUGUCACUGCUUGGAAUAUAUUCUAGUCUUUCAGAAAGACAGUUAAAAUGAGAAAAAGAGAGCAAGAAACUCCCAGUGAGCCUUAAUACUAAAGAUUUCACACUGAUUCAAAGACAAAUUCACCAUUAAUAGCCAUAUAAUUAAGACAUCACAUUUAACUCACUUAUCACAAGAAGCAAAGUAAGAGCAAAUGAAUACAAUCCUAGCUCGUAAGCUUCAGCUCAUUAUUCACAAGUCCUGAUUCUCUGUACAUAGUGCCAAUCUGAAUAUGUGUGCAGAGACUUAUAUUAUAUUAAAUAUUAUUUUUUUAACCUGUAGCCCCUUAGGGGGCUUCCUAAAGGCUCUGGGGGGGUCUCUAAAGGUUCCCUCUCACCCUGCUGGCCUCUAGGGCCUUGCAGGGACCAUUUGAGCAUGUGCGGUGGCCAUUAAAAAAAUUUUUUUAAA